CUUUUAUGCAAAUUCCCAGGGACUUUAACCUGAGAAAAUUUAGCAGCUGCUGGCUUGGUCUUAAUACACCUUGCCUCUCUGUAUGAUCGGGAACUAUCAGGAACUUGAUGAGCUGACAAAUGUGCUCCAUGCUUGCAACACAGCAGGGAAGAAAUUGCAGCACCUGGAAAUCCCCGUGGAAUGCAAGAGGAAGAAAAUUAGAGAAAGGAAAAUAAUUGAAGCUGGGAUUGAAAGAGCUGCUUCAAUCAGAUCUGGGUCAAAUGGUUGUCUGCUUUUCUAUCCAAGAAUUUUCUGCUGGAGCAGCCUACCCGUGCCUCUUCUGACUUCACCUACAAGGUGACUUUCUACCAUCUGAUGUCCCCCAGGUAGAUGUCUUCUGCUUCAACUCCUACUAUUUUCAGCCUACAUGCCAGG
rnacentral:lncRNA from 1 species